rnacentral:hammerhead_ribozyme from 1 species
AUCCACCUGACGAGUCCCAAAUAGAACGCAACGCGCGUCAAACUGUAU